CACAUGUAGAUAAGACGUAGGACU
rnacentral:piRNA from 1 species